AAUGCUUGACACACUUUUUAACCCGAGCUGUCUUUUUGCAUCUUGUCAUUCUUCAUAUAUGACAAAUAUUAUUUAUAGGAGAACUUGAUUUCUUAUGAAAGGCUUUUGGACAUCCACCAGAGUUAUUUCAUUCCACGUGAUGUAUAAGCUGCUUAGCACCUUUUGUGAAAUGUAGGAUUUUUCUUUUUACUGUCAUAAACUACAUUUCUUUACAUUCAUGUCAUGUGCACUUGUGCACUAUUUAAAAACAUUUUGAAAGGCAGAAAUUAGACCAAACUCAAUCUGAAUGUUGGAUUUACUCUCUUGGUUCACAUGGGUCUCCUCUUAAGGAAUUGCCAAGUGAUAUGCAGAAACUGGACUUAGAAGUCUCCCUACUUUCAAGGUAUGUGGACGAUGAUGUUUUUGGUGGGUUGCCUUCUUUAGGUUUAUGGUUCUCCAAAGUAAUUGUAUGGUUACAAGUGAAAACUAUGUAGGUAUGACCUUGAUAUUGCAUUUGGUGUUGGCGCCAACCCCAUGUUGCCGUCAUGAUGGCCUUAUUAAGUUUGAAGUCUGACAUGUCUACUGUGAAUUAGUUGCACAAUCAACAAUAGAAGUUUAAAAUUCCUGGGAAACUUUUGAGAGCUGCAAAUUUUAAAGAACUUCAUUUUGUUGAGUAAAUUUGUGAUUCAAAACACAUUUGCGCAGCAACAAUGUGUCUUUUCUUUUUUGUCUUCGGAUUUUUUAUCACUGGUUAGCUAUUGACCUUAUUUUUAGUUCUUUCACAAUGGCUAUGCAUUUCAAAUAGUUAAUUAGGAUUCUUGUUGUUUGUCUGUAGGUUUCCUUAUUUUGAUCCAUUUCAAUAGUUCUUCCCUUCCUAGAAACACCAGCUCUACAUUUCUUCCCACUUGAAUGAUAAUUCUCCUAUUCGGGCUUCUUUACCAAGCCGGUCAUUCAGCAAAUCAGCUUCUAAGUCUGGGAUAUCAAGAUGCCUUCUCUUUUGUGAUCAUUUAAGAACUUU